rnacentral:rRNA from 1 species
GAUCCUGGCUCAGGAUGAACGCUGGCGGCGUGCCUAACACAUGCAAGUCGAACGAGGUAAAUAAGAGGAAGUUUUCGGAUGGAAUCGUAUUUACCGAGUGGCGGACGGGUGAGUAACGCGUGGAUAACCUGCCUCAUACAGGGGGAUAACAGUUGGAAACGGCUGCUAAUACCGCAUAAGCGCACAGUACCGCAUGGUACAGUGUGAAAAACUCCGGUGGUGUGAGAUGGACCCGCGUCUGAUUAG